rnacentral:rRNA from 1 species
UACGUAGGGUGCAAGCGUUAAUCGGAAUUACUGGGCGUAAAGCGUGCGCAGGCGGUUUUGUAAGUUUGUCGUGAAAUCCCCGGGCUCAACCUGGGAAUGGCGAUGAAGACUGCAAGGCUAGAGUUUGGCAGAGGGGGGUAGAAUUCCACGUGUAGCAGUGAAAUGCGUAGAUAUGUGGAGGAAUACCGAUGGCGAAGGCAGCCCCCUGGGAUAACACUGACGCUCAUGCACGAAAGCGUGGGGAGCAAACAGG